rnacentral:lncRNA from 1 species
UAAGGAAAAUAUCUAGGGAUGAAAUUGCUGAGACAAAGGCAUUUGAAAGAACAUUCAUAGAAAUAUUGUUUCUCUUAACAUUGUAACCUCUAAACUUGAAACAACACAAGGGAACUUCAAAGCUCAAUGUGAUUAAUAUAGUUGUUUAUAUAAUAGAAUACUACAGAGCUAUGGAAAUAAAAAUACUACAGCUACAAAUAUCUACAUGGAUUAAUUGUACAACCAUCUCUGAGAAAAAUAAAGCACAAAAGGACACAUACAAUAUGAUUCAAUCUAUUUAAAGUUCAAAAAUAUGGAAAAUUAAGCUAUGAUUUAAGUUUACAUUCAUCACUGGCAAAAUUUUUUUUUUCACAAAGAAGAGAAUAGUUAUCACUCAAAAUUAGAUAGAGGUUACCUUUGAGGAGAGGGAGGAGAAUGUGGUAAGCAAGAGGUGCCUGGAUGCUUCUGGAGGUCUGGGCAAUAAAUGUGUUAUAUCUGAACCUGAGUUGUGCACACAUGUGGCUUUAUGCUAUCAUUAUUCUUUCAAUUGUAGAUAUGUUUUAUUCGUUCCUCUGUUUUUAUAUUUCAUAAUGACAAGAACCAAAAUAAGAAAAGGAAAAUAAGUGCUUAGAGAUGAUCAUCCACUUUUAUCAAGGUUCAGCCACAUUAUACUGAAAAUAUGAUUUAGAGAAAAUGCUAAGGGAAGAGAGACAGCCCACAAGUAUUACUGUAAAGCAACAGAUCCAGAGAUCCAGCAUGAAGAAUGAAGCAAGCAAGCAGGUAGGCUCUCCUUUCACUCCUCAGCUGGUGAGGGGUACAAAGCAUGUGUUCUGGGCCUCUCACCCUCAGCUGUUCU